rnacentral:rRNA from 1 species
GACGAACGCUGGCGGCGUGCUUAACACAUGCAAGUCGAACGGAAAGGCCCUGCUUUUGUGGGGUGCUCGAGUGGCGAACGGGUGAGUAACACGUGAGUAACCUGCCCUUGACUUUGGGAUAACUUCAGGAAACUGGGGCUAAUACCGGAUAGGAGCUCCUGCUGCAUGGUGGGGGUUGGAAAGUUUCGGCGGUUGGGGAUGGACUCGCGGCUUAUCAGCUUGUUGGGGGUAGUGGCUUACCAAGGCUUUGACGGGUAGCCGGCCUGAGAGGGUGACCGGCCACAUUGGGACUGAGAUACGGCCCAGACUCCUACGGGAGGCAGCAGUGGGGAAUAUUGCACAAUGGGCGGAAGCCUGAUGCAGCAACGCCGCGUGCGGGAUGACGGCCUUCGGGUUGUAAACCGCUUUCGCCUGUGACGAAGCGUGAGUGACGGUAAUGGGUAAAGAAGCACCGGCUAACUACGUG